rnacentral:rRNA from 1 species
UACGUAGGGUGCAAGCGUUGUCCGGAAUUAUUGGGCGUAAAGAGCUCGUAGGCGGUCUGUCGCGUCUGCUGUGAAAAUCCGGGGCUCAACCCCGGACUUGCAGUGGGUACGGGCAGACUAGAGUGUGGUAGGGGAGACUGGAAUUCCUGGUGUAGCGGUGAAAUGCGCAGAUAUCAGGAGGAACACCGAUGGCGAAGGCAGUUCUCUGGGCCGUAACUGACGCUGAGGAGCGAAAGCGUGGGGAGCGAACAGG